AUUGAACGCUGGCGGAAUGCUUUACACAUGCAAGUCGAACGGCAGCACGGGGGCAACCCUGGUGGCGAGUGGCGAACGGGUGAGUAAUACAUCGGAACGUGCCCAGUCGUGGGGGAUAACGUAGCGAAAGUUACGCUAAUACCGCAUACGAUCUACGGAUGAAAGCGGGGGACCGUAAGGCCUCGCGCGAUUGGAGCGGCCGAUGUCAGAUUAGGUAGUUGGUGAGGUAAAGGCUCACCAAGCCGACGAUCUGUAGCUGGUCUGAGAGGACGACCAGCCACACUGGGACUGAGACACGGCCCAGACUCCUACGGGAGGCAGCAGUGGGGAAUUUUGGACAAUGGGCGCAAGCCUGAUCCAGCCAUUCCGCGUGCAGGACGAAGGCCUUCGGGUUGUAAACUGCUUUUGUACGGAACGAAAAGGCUCUGGUUAAUACCUGGGGCUCAUGACGGUACCGUAAGAAUAAGCACCGGCUAACUACGUGCCAGCCGCCGCAGUAA
rnacentral:rRNA from 1 species